rnacentral:rRNA from 1 species
GAUGAACGCUGGCGGCGUGCCUAAUACAUGCAAGUCGAGCGAACGGACGCGAAGCUUGCUUCUCUGAUGUUAGCGGCGGACGGGUGAGUAACACGUGGAUCACCUACCUAUAAGACUGGGAUCACUUCGGGAAACCGGCGCUCACCCCGGAUAAUAUUUUGCACCGCAUGGUUCAAAAGUGAAAGACGGUCUUGCUGUCACUUAUAGAUGGAUCCGCGCUGCAUUAGCUAGUUGGUAAGGUAACGGCUUACCAAGGCAACGAUGCAUAGCCGACCUGAGAGGGUGAUAGGCCACACUGGAAGUGAGACACGGUCCAGACUCCUAAGGGAGGCAGCAGUAGGGAAUCGUCCGCAAUGGGCGAAAGCCUGACGGAGCAACGCCGCGUGAGUGAUGAAGGUCUUCGGAGCGUAAAACUCUGUUAUUAGGGAAGAACAGAUGUGGAAGUAACUGUGCACAUCUUGACGGUACCUAAUCAGAAAGCCACGGCUAACUACGUG